AUGGGAUGGAGCUGGAUGUUUUUCUUCCUCCUGUCAGCAACUGCAGGUGUGCACUCAGAGGUUCAACUGCAGCAAUCUGAGGCUGAGCUGGUGCAGCCUGGGACUUCAGUUAAGAUUUCCUGCAAGGCUUCUGGCUACACCUUUACCACUUAUAGUAUGCACUGGGUGAAGCAGAAGCCUGGACAGGGUCUAGAAUGGAUUGGAUAUGUUUAUCCUGCAAAUGGUGGUACUAAUUACAAUGAGAAGUUCAAGGGCAAGGCCACACUGACUGCAGACAAAUCCUCCAACACAGCCUACAUGGCACUCAGUAGCCUGACAUCUGAGGACUCUGCAGUCUAUUACUGUGCUAAACACAGUGGUACAGCCACAUCCUGA